rnacentral:lncRNA from 1 species
UGGGGUAUAUACUGGGUAAGGCAUUUUUAUUCAUUUACUUUAUUUGUUUGUUUAGAUAUAGACUCUUGCUAUGUUCCCUAGGCUGGAAUGCGGUGUCUAUUACAAACACAAUCAUCCUGCACUCUGUCUGAAAUUCUGGGCCUCAAGGGAUUUUCUCAUCUUGGCCUCCUGAGUAGCUGGGGCUACAGGUGUGUGUCAUUCUGCCUGAGCUUGGAAGAUCAUUUUAACAGUUUCAAACUCAUCAAUCUCAGCAUCAGAAGAUUUUCAUCAAGAAAGCAGAAACUUAAGUCUUCUAAGGAGCUUUUGUGUAUGCUUUUGCUUUGCUGUUAAAAAUAAAUAACUAAAAGACCCAUGAUGAAUCCAUGGGGCAAGAUUAAAAAGACUGAAAAUCAAC